rnacentral:misc_RNA from 1 species
GAUGAAGAACGUAGCGAAAUGCGAUAAGUAAUGUGAAUUGCAGAAUUCAGUGAAUCAUCGAGUCUUUGAACGCACAUUGCGCCCCCUGGUAUUCCGGGGGGCAUGCCUGUCCGAGCGUCAUUGCUGCCCUCAAGCACGGCUUGUGUGUUGGGCUCCGCCCCCUCCCGGGGGGCGGGCCCGAAAGGCAGCGGCGGCACCGCGUCCGGUCCUCGAGCGUAUGGGGCUUUGUCACCCGCUCUGUAGGCCCGGCCGGCGCCCGCCGGCGACCCCAAUCAAUCUUUCCAGGUUGACCUCGGAUCAGGUAGGGAUACCCGCUGAACUUAAGCAUAUCAAUAAGCGGAGGA